rnacentral:rRNA from 1 species
AAGAGCGCGUAGGCGGGUUCUUAAGUGAGGGGUGAAAGGUUCAGGGCUCAACCCGGACACUGCCUUUCAUACUGGGAACCUUGAGUGCGGGAGAGGCGAGUGGAAUGGCUGGUGUAGCGGUGAAAUGCGUAGAUAUCAGUCGGAACACCCAUGGCGAAGGCAGCUCGCUGGCCUGCAACUGACGCUGAGGCGCGAAAGCGUGGGGAGCAAACAGGAUUAGAUACCCUAGU